rnacentral:rRNA from 1 species
UACGAAGGGUGCUAGCGUUGCUCGGAAUCACUGGGCGUAAAGGGUGCGUAGGCGGGUUUUUAAGUCAGGGGUGAAAUCCUGGAGCUCAACUCCAGAACUGCCUUUGAUACUGAAGAUCUUGAGUUCGGGAGAGGUGAGUGGAACUGCGAGUGUAGAGGUGAAAUUCGUAGAUAUUCGCAAGAACACCAGUGGCGAAGGCGGCUCACUGGCCCGAUACUGACGCUGAUGCACGAAAGCGUGGGGAGCAAACAGG